UCGUUCCGUGGUCUUUGGAGGUUCUGAGACGUUACAGUAAAACCAUACACGCUGGCACACAUCGCUAUUUACCACGUUUUUCGAUUAAUGCAGGUGUUUAUUGUAAUUUCGCACGAUCCGGUUCAGUCUGCUGCAGCCAUGAGUCAUCAUGAAAAACAAGUCAUUUCGCAACAAUAACCGUACUAAUUCAUCACUUGGCUAAAAAUGUGUUUUGCACGCUUUAAUGUAGUUAUUAUUAUCAUAGUUUCACAUGUAAUAAACCUGUAGUACAUAUUAACAUUGUGUGCCGUUUUCAGUUAUUCGUUUCAUCUCAACCCUUGAACUGAUUCAUUGAAAAGAUCCAAAUAAAAAGAACAAUUCUUUCACGACUCGAACUACGCUUGUUUCACUACGGACAUCUUAGACUUGCGGACACAAAAACAACAGCGUUCUAUACACAAACAACAUAGUAACUAUGAGCUCUUCGUCGACUGCAGUGCUGCUGGAAACGAUCAACUUCGCUGCAGAGAAACAUCGCAAUCAGCGCCGUAAAGAUCCUGAUGCAACACCAUACAUCAAUCACCCCAUAGGGGUGGCGAGGAUUUUAAGUCACGAGGGGGGGAUUACAGAUAUUGAAGUUUUACAAG